AGGAUAACUUGUGCUUACGUAAUGCUCUUCAUUUAACUGGACACUACACGGAGCAUAAAGCACUAACAAAAACAGUAAGAGCCCAAACUUCUAGAUGUUGGAAUGGGCUGGGUGGUGUGUCAACGACAGCCACGAGUCCGCGCGUGGACUUCACUUUGUUCACUCGGCCCCGGAGCCAGAGCGCCAAGACGGUGUUCAGUCGUUAGCUUCGGAUAUGCUAACCACUCUUAGCAAACUUGGAGCUAACACGCUACAUCCUCUAGCCAUGCUCACUGGAGUCCCAGGGUCGUUGCUCGCUACCAAAGCCCACCGUGUGACUGCACGCGUUCAGACGGGUAUAUACAAGAAGUGGACAUGAGCUGAGGUUCAUAUGCGCUAGACGUGCAGCGAUAUGAAAACAGCGAGAGGCCCCCUGCCGUCCUGGCGGGGCACUGCGGUCCAGACGGGUUCGCGCGUUCAGUGAGAUGAACGGUGUUUGGCUUCCGCUGCUGCGCCAGUACACGGAGCUGCCCGCGGAGCAGCAGCGCUACGGACUUCGCCAUCAUGCAUGACGCGAGUCAGGUAACAGGUUCCGCUUAGCGCUGCCGAGAUUGUCAGUCUCUGUCAAUAGGUUCCCAAAAGGUAGACUAUGGUGUGUCGCACAUACAAUCGUCCUAACUGAAGACCCACCUUGAUGAGAGGACUGACAGAUUGGAUGUUCAAAUUCAAGUUAAGAGCGCGGUAACAUGUAAAUUCUGUUUCACUUAUGGCAUUCACAUUUUGUCAGUGCAGGUUAACCCUUGAUGUGAUGUGAAAUGAAAAGUCCAAUGAAUUUUGCAAUUUAAUUUUCAAAUGGUUAGACAUGCAUUUUCAUUUUAAUUGUGACCUACAUAAUGCUUGCUUAAAUGGACAAUUAGGCGGUAUUGUUUACAUUGCAUUUACAUUUGAAUAUUGUCCACCGAAGUGCAGGUUAAGUCUUUGAAAAUGAAAAGUCAAAUGGAAUUCUUAUUAAAUUUUCAUAUUGUUAUCAAAUUGCAUAAUCAUUUAAUUUAGUCAUAGAAUGCCCAUACAAGGAUGUGAAAAUGCAAAUGCAAAUUUAUUUAAAAAUAUUUACUCAAAAGACAAGGAAUUACAUUUUCAUUUUCACAUUGACAUUAUCAUUUGAAUUAAGUCCCCUAUAGGUUUCCAUACUCCUCACUCCAAGCUUCACUGAAGACACAAUAAGGAUGGGGUCAUAAAACAUGAGGUUUUAAACACUCAAACACAAAGUCACCCCAGCACGCCUCACUGGGUUUUUGUCUUUGGGUAUAGACAAGGACAGAGUAAUGGCUUAGAAUGACUUGCUCAGAGUGAAGCUGUGCCCCAGCUCACAAUGCUAAUCAUUAAAAAGAGAACACCGCCUUCCAUCAGCGCAGAUGUUUUUCUUCUUCUUUUCUGCUCCUUUCUGAAUAGUUUUGCUUUA